UGUAAUGGGGCGAUCCCCAAAGGGGAGGGGUUUCCCACUCGUAUGCGUGUAGUGGGGGAUCCCCAAGGGGGAGGGGUUUCCUCACUAUGUUUAGGUGAAUGGAGUUAGAAAUUAAGCUCGCCACCCCUUUAAAAGUGUGGAGGUUUUGCUUCCGUUAUCUCCCUGGCAUGGAAUAGUGGCAGUGUUGAGUGCGUGCAAACUUUUGAUGUGCGUUAAGCAUUGAGCGUUGAGCAGUAAGCCUGCAGUGUUUAGAAAAACCUGUAAUUCUGUUUCUUUGGCCUGCGGAAGUGCAAUCGCAUCAGCAAGUAACGGUAUGUCUCUGUUUAUGUCUUUGGCUAUUUCUGGCGAGUUUUAGAGCUGUUAAUUAAUAAUAAAUAAUUCUUUUAGCUACAUCCAUGUAUGAUUGGUGGAUUGCUCACCAUUUGCGUUAAGAGCCAGUUGACUGGGCUGCGGAGAGCCCGUUGCUGUUUUGCUGCUGUCUGGCGACCCGUUUGUGCUACGGAGGGGCGAUUUCACUUUCCUUCUCGGCACCUGAUUGUGUGUGACUCGGUUGCGUCAAGGCAGUGUGUGUGUGUGUGUAGGAUUGUGUGUGUGUGUGUGUGUGUGUGUGUGUGUGUGUGUGUGUGUGUGUGUGUGUGUGUGUGGGUGUGAGCGCGCCCUUAUUGUGCGAGGGUGCGCUAAAUUCUUUCGACGUUGGCGCGGUUGUGAGUGUGCGUGUAUGUGUGCAGUGUUGUGAUUUAACUAUUUGGUGGGUUUGUAUUUUGUUUGUGUAAAUUGCUAAGGGCUGUUAUUGUUCGACUUACAUUUCAAUACUAACAGCAAGGAUUACCUUAUAUGGGGAGGGUUGUGUUAUUUUGGUUUUGUUUGUUAUGCGGGUGGUUUAUUUUGAGUGUGGGUUAGUUUCUCUUUAUUAAUGAGUGUUUUGUUUUGAAGGUUUCGUUGCACUGGAGUGUGGCAUUUUCCUCUUUUUCCUUUUGAUCUUUCCCAAUGGUAUAUCCUGUGUAAUAUUGAGUGUGAGAGCAGUGGCCACUGACAACCAUUAUACAAACCAUUGUAUUGUUUUGUGACUUAUUGUAAUUGACUAUCUGUUUUAUAUGAUUACAUUUUAAAGAAAAACUCUAUUUAAGUGUCUAAUAAAAGAUUGUUUGUACACA